GCCGGAAUUGCUAGUAAUGGCAGGUCAGCAUACUGCCGUGAAUACGUUCCCGGGCCUUGUACACACCGCCCGUCACACCAUGAGAGUUGGGAAUACCCGAAGCCUGUGAGCUAACUUUUAGAGGCAGCAGUCGAAGGUAGAAUCAAUGAUUGGGGUGAAGUCGUAACAAGGUAUC
rnacentral:rRNA from 1 species